rnacentral:piRNA from 1 species
UGGAGAGGAAAUUAACUUGAGACAGGAA